ACUAAGGGCUCAAACUGGGAAUCUGGGAUGCCAAACUCCAGGCCUGCUGUAACAACUGACAAGCUACUGGGGAAGAAUCUUUAUUUUUCUUUCAUUUUCAUGAACCAAAAAAAAAAAGAGUAAAAGGAAAAGUGGAUGACAGCCUAUCUCAAUAGGUUGAGGUGAAGCAUUAAUGGAGGUUUCCAAACAGAAGGAAAGAACUGGUGUCAUAAUAAUGGAUUUUAAAAUGAUGAAUGCACCCUCAUUCCUACCUCUCUUCUAAGAAUGAAGCAUCCAUCAACACCUGCUGAAACUGACAUGAGUAAGGAGAUUGAACAGAAGAAACUCUGACUCUUCAUGGAUGGUUCGACUUAUUUAGACCCAGGGCUCUCACUGAGCUUUUUGCAAACUCGUCCUUUCCUUCGUGGAUUCUCACUGUUUAUGAGAAGAUACUGCUCAUAAUUUUCCACCAUUCUUCUCUAUAUAAAAUUUACGAAUGAGUUUUAUGUUUUACACUGAUAUUGCAGCCUUGGAGUCAGGAGGACCUGAGUUCAAAUCUGGCCUCAGACACUUGACACUUACUGUGUGACCC